GUACAAUAUUUAAGGGUAAAUUGGUCCUUUUGCUCUACCAGCUAAAACCCUAAUCGAUCUUAUUAUAUCCGUGGUCAGCUUCCCUCCGAGCCGAAACCAGAGAGCAAAGGAAUCUCAAAGAAAAAAUAAUGGGUGCGUACAAGUACGUGUCGGAGCUAUGGAGGAAGAAACAAUCGGAUGUGAUGCGGUUCCUGCAGAGGGUGAGGUGCUGGGAGUAUCGCCAGCAUCCUUCCAUUGUGCGUGUCACGCACCCCACCCGCCCUGACAAGGCACGCCGCUUGGGUUACAAGGCCAAGCAGGGUUAUGUGAUAUAUCGUGUGCGUGUGAGGCGUGGUGGAAGGAAGAGACCAGUACCCAAGGGUAUUGUCUAUGGGAAGCCCACAAAUCAGGGUGUUACUCAACUGAAAUUUCAACGCAGCAAGCGUUCAGUUGCAGAGGAGCGUGCUGGUAGGAAGCUGGGUGGCCUUAAGGUUCUUAACUCUUAUUGGCUCAACGAGGAUUCAACAUACAAGUACUAUGAGGUUAUCUUGGUUGAUCCUGCACACAAUGCGAUCCGCAAUGAUCCAAGGAUCAACUGGAUCUGCAAUCCUGUCCACAAGCACAGGGAGCUUCGUGGGCUUACUUCUGCAGGGAAGAAGUACAGAGGUCUGCGUGGCAAGGGGCACUUGCACCACAAAGCACGGCCUUCAAGAAGGGCAACCUGGAAGAGGAACAACACACUUUCUCUCCGACGCUACCGUUGAUCUUUUUGACAUAGUUUGUCGUUUCUAUCAUCCAAAUUUUAUUUUCUAUUAGCCGUCAAGAGAGAUUCAUAAUUGGUAACCAAGAUCCAAGAAGACAUGAAUAUGAUGAUGCUCAAAGUUGCUGCGCUCGUUGGAAUGUUCUGGUAAUUUCAGAUAAAUCUGCUCCUACCGUGCAUCUGGAGCUUGGUUCUAUCAUAACACAAAGUGAAUCGUCUUUAAGUGGACUGUAGCCUGUAGAUUAAUUUCAAAGGAAAAAAAAAAAA